rnacentral:snoRNA from 13 species
GGAAUGAUGAUUGACAACCGCCCCAGUCUGCAAUCUUAAUGAUGAUUCGGAUUUACAAGACACGCCAGUUUUGCUUCUGA